UUCCCAGGCAUAUAUUUCUGUUACAACAAGUAUAAGGAUCUCGAAGAUAAGGGAACUGAUAGCAGCAUUGAAUGGAAGUUUACAUCAAAUCUGGAUGGUUUUACAAACUCUAAGAAGUUCUGGCUUGCUUCUGGUAAGAGAGUAGUAUGGACCAUUUGUAUACCACUUCGCAUUACAACACUGCCAUCCAGUCGCGAUUCAGCAGAGUGUUCCAAUUUAUUUCAAAAAACCAUGUAAAUCCUGGUUUCGAUAUGGUCGUAAAAAUAGAGUCACGAUCUUUCUCAACGGCCAGUUUAUAAUAGUUUAUACCUGUAAACCACAUAUAAAUCCUAAGUAUUCUCUAGUUAUAAUCACUCCGCGUAUUUUUAGUUCUAAAAUGUUGCAUUUCGGCUGAUGAGAAAGAUCGUGACUCAAUCUUUACGACCGUUACGACCAUAUGGAAACCAGGCUUAAACAAUUUUUUCAACCGUUGUAAAAAUGUUUGAAAAGCUAUCAAACCACAGAUACGGACUUCAAAAGUUCGAUAACGCUUUCGUACAACCGGCCCGAGCAAGUAUAUUAACCCUCUUUCACAAUUCCAGGUAUAAUUCUCACAGUCGUCCUCGUUAUUUUGUUACUGAUCAUCUUGGUGUUAAGAAAACGGAUUAAUAUCGCGAUCGCUCUUAUCAAGGAAGCAAGCAGGUUCGUGGCGAGAAGCUUUUUCUUUCUUGUUUCUUUUUGUGUUUUUUUUUUUGUGUUUUU